UACGUAGGGACCGAGCGUUGUCCGGAUUCAUUGGGCGUAAAGAGCUCGUAGGCGGCUGUUCAAGUCGAACGUGAAAACUCGGAGCUCAACUCCGAGCCUGCGUUCGAUACUGGACGGCUAGAGUCUGGUAGGGGGAUCUGGAAUUCCUGGUGUAGCGGUGGAAUGCGCAGAUAUCAGGAGGAAUACCGGUGGCGAAAGCGACUCUCUGGACGGCAACUGACGCUGAGGCACGAAAGCGUGGGGAGCAGACAGG
rnacentral:rRNA from 1 species